AUGCAGUUAAAACUUAGCACUAUGACCUUGGUGGACAAGGUUGUUGCGAGUAAACUUGCUAGCAAACUACAGGUGCGUGGUUUUGACUCCGAGAUUUCUGUCCAAAUCGAACAAGCCUACUCUCGGGAUUUUAUCCCAGUUGACAAGUCUCAUAGCCCCACCAAAGAAGCCGCACUUCUGUGGCCACACCUUAAGGGCUUAGCUAACAAGUUACAGCCAUUAUACAAAUGUGAAGUAGGUCUACUGAUCGGUUAUGAUUGUCUUUCGGCACUAGCUCCCUUAGAGGUCGUUACAGGCAAGGGAAACGAACCUUUCACACAAAAAACCAUGCUAGGUUGGAGUAUUAUUGGUUUUGCUAAUCCCCUCCUAGACAGAAAAGGUAGCCAGAGUUACGUGCAUAGAAUCACAGUCAAAGAAGUGCCUUUACCAUCAGCUGCAGAUGUACUCAAAGUCCUAGAGACAGACUUUAAUGAGAAAAACUAUGAGGAUAAGUAUGUAUCCCAGGAUGAUGUUCGCUUCAUACAAAUCCUCAGCGAUGCAGUAAGGCAGAGAGAAGAUGAGCGCUACGAGAUGCCUCUUCCCUUCAAGGACAAUAAUCCUCCAGCUAUUCCUAACAACAAGAAGCUAGCCACAGUCCGCCUGCAGCACUUAAAGAAAAGGUUGAAAGCUGAUAAACAGUAUUAUGAACAGUACAGUUCCUUUAUGAGAGGCAUUAUCAGCAAUGAUGAGGCAGAACUAGCUCCUCCUCCCUCAGAUGGAGAAACUGCCUGGUACAUCUCACAUCAUGGGGUCUCCCACCCGAAAAAACCAGACAAGCUAAGAGUCGUCUUUGAUUGCUUGGCUAAAUUUCUCAGAAUUUCCCUAAAUGACACCCUUCUCAUAGGUCCAGAUAUGAUCAACUCGUUGGUGGGAGUACUUUGCCGUUUCAGAAGAGAAAAUGUAGCCAUAGUCUGCGAUAUUCAGAGGAUGUUUCAUCAGUUCUUCGUUUGUCUAGACAUGCGCAACUAUCUCAGAUUUCUGUGGUGGCAGGGUGGACAAUUAGACACGGAACCCCAGGAGUACAGAAUGGCUGUCCAUUUGUUCGGUGCUAGUUCUUCUCCUGGAUGUGCUAAUUUUGGCCUAAAACACCUAACAUAA
rnacentral:lncRNA from 1 species